rnacentral:rRNA from 1 species
UAGUCCACGCCGUAAACGAUGAGUGCUAGACAUCGGAAAUUAAAUUUUCGGUUUCGCAGCUAACGCAUUAAGCACUCCGCCUGGGGACUACGAUCACAAGAUUAAAACUCAAAGGAAUUGACGGGGGCUCGCACAAGUGGUGGAGCAUGCGGUUUAAUUCGAUGCUACGCGAGGAACCUUACCUGGGCUAGAAUGCCUUUGCCAUCCCGGGAAACCGGGAGUUCCUUCGGGACGAAGUGCAAGGUGCUGCAUGGUUGUCGUCAGCUCGUGCCGUGAGGUGUUGGGUUAAGUCCCGCAACGAGCGCAACCCCUAUUCUUAGUUGCCAGCAUGUAAUGGUGGGGACUCUAAGAAGACUGCCUGCGCAAGCAGAGAGGAAGGAGGGGAUGACGUCAAAUCAUCAUGGCCCUUACGCCCAGGGCUACACACGUGCUACAAUGGCGCAUACAGAGGGUAGCUACCUGGCAACAGGAUGCCAAUCUCAAAAAAGUGCGUCUCAGUUCGG